rnacentral:rRNA from 1 species
GGGUCAGUAGGUUGGUCGUGCCACCGGUACGUACUGGUCUCACUGAUUCCUCCUUCCUGAAGAACCGUGAUGCCAUUAAUUUGGUGUUGCGGGGAAACAGGACUGUUACUUUGAAAAAAUUAGAGUGUUUAAAGCAAGCUAACGCUUGAAUACACUAGCAUGGAAUAAUGAAAUAGGACGAUCGAUCCUAUUUUGUUGGUUUCUAGGAUUGACGUA